AGGAUAGAGGCCUACCAUGGUGGUAACGGGUAACGGGGUGUUAGGGCACGACACCGGAGAGGGAGCCUGAGAAACGGCUACCACAUCCAAGGAUGGCAGCAGGCGCGCAAAUUACCCAAUCCCGACACGGGGAGGUAGUGACAAUAAAUAACAAUACGGGGUUCUUUAGGAUCUCGUAAUUGGAAUGAGUACAAUUUAAAUCUCUUAACGAGGAACAAUUGGAGGGCAAGUCUGGUGCCAGCAGCCGCGGUAAUUCCAGCUCCAAUAGCGUAUAUUAAAGUUGUUGCAGUUAAAAAGCUCGUAGUUGAAUUUCGGGGUUAGUAGGUUGGUCAUGCCUCUGGUAUGUACUGGUCUCACUGAUUCCUCCUUCCUUAUGAACCGUAAUGCCAUUAAUUUGGUGUUGCGGGGAAUUUGGACUGUUACUUUGAAAAAAUUAGAGUGUUUAAAGCAAGCUAACGCUUGAAUACAUUAGCAUGGAAUAAUGAAAUAGGACGUUCGAUCUUAUUUUGUUGGUUUCUAGGAUUGACGUAAUGAUUAAUAGGGAUAGUUGGGGGCAUUAGUAUUCAAUUGUCAGAGGUGAAAUUCUUGGAUUUAUUGAAGACUAACUACUGCGAAAGCAUUUGCCAAGGAUGUUUUCAUUAAUCAAGAACGAAAGUUAGGGGAUCGAAGACGAUCAGAUACCGUCGUAGUCUUAACCAUAAACUAUGCCGACUAGGG
rnacentral:rRNA from 1 species